UACGUAGGGGGCAAGCGUUGUCCGGAUUUAUUGGGCGUAAAGAGCGUGUAGGCGGCCUUACAGGUCAGCUGUGAAAACUCGAGGCUCAACCUCGAGACGUCGGUUGAAACCGUAUGGCUAGAGUCCGGAAGAGGAGAGUGGAAUUCCCGGUGUAGCGGUGAAAUGCGCAGAUAUCGGGAAGAACACCCGUGGCGAAGGCGGCUCUCUGGGACGGUACUGACGCUGAGACACGAAAGCGUGGGUAGCAAACAGG
rnacentral:rRNA from 1 species